AAAUUGGGGUCAAAACUAUAAUUUGGCAUUAAAAUUAGGAAGAUCAUAUCAUCGGGAACAUGUGUACUAAGUUUCAAGUUGAUUGGAUUUCAACUUCAUCAAAAACUACCUUGACCAAAAACUUUAACCUGAAGCGAACGGAUGGACGGACGGACGCACAGAUCAGAAAACAUAAAGUCCCUCUACUAUCGUAGGUGGGGCAUAAAAA
rnacentral:lncRNA from 1 species